AAUAGCUUUUGCUGAACGUGGUCCCGGAUGUCGCUGGGUGUGAGCGAGACGGCUUGUCAUGUCGUUCGCAGCAGGGUCGCUGUGCUUUCGAUGAACAAGAAUAUGCGACCAUGAUUAGAAGUUUCGAGAGUAGACGAGAGGAGACACUUGGUAAAAGACGAUUGAACGAGUAAGAGCAUUAAAAAGAGUUUAGCGACACACCGGGAAUUCGUUGUUAAGCGCAGCUAAGAUGGAAAACCAGAAUGAGAAAUGCAACGCCCCGACAUAUAUAUAACUUGUGCUUGAGAACUAUAUCCGAUACACGAGGUGAAUAAAGGGAUCACAAGAUGUCAUUCGCUAACCAAUUGGUGCCCCAGGAGUGCAAGGGAAGCUAAAAAAAACUGGAAAAGUAACAGCGAAUACGAAAAGAAUCAUUUAUUAUAAUUGUGAUUUAACAAAGAAUUAAAUGUAAAUUGAAACCAAAAA